AACGAACGCUGGCGGCGUGGUUUAGGCAUGCAAGUCGAGCGAGAAAGUCCUUGGACGAGUACAGCGGCGAAAGGGUGAGUAAUAUAUAGGUAACCUACCUCUUGGACUCGGAUAAUUCCUGGAAACGGGUUGUAAUACGAGAUCGUCCUAUUGGGUCGCAUGGCCCGACUGGUAAAUGGUAGCUCUGCUUCUGCCGAGAGAGGGGCCUAUAUCCUAUUAGCUAGUUGGUGAGGUAAUGGCUCACCAAGGCUUUGAUGGGUAGGCCGGACUGAGAGGUUGGCCGGUCACACUGGGACUGAGACACUGCCCAGACUCCUACGGGAGGCUGCAGUCGAGAAUCUUCCGCAAUGGGCGAAAGCCUGACGGGGCGACGCCGCGUGAACGAAGAAGGCC
rnacentral:rRNA from 1 species